UUCUUGCUAUCUGUGAACCUGAAACAUGUGAAGCAGACAUCUCUUGACAUCUCCUUUCUGCUCAACAUCCUUGAGGAAGCUGGUUGCAUAGGCCCCGGCGAUUUGUGGCAGCUAUGGAAUAAUCUGCAGUUCAAUUUGGUGAGUAUAUUCACAUGCUCGAAACUUAGAGAGUUCGGUAGCACAGUCUACUUUAUUUCUGUCUGUUAUUUUCUAGUGUGGAGUUACUGACCGUUGUGGUGUUAUGGUUAUGCUCAGGCUUACUGGACGUGUAGUUUGAUGUGGUCAUUACCCCCUUCUCAUGCUCCAACCUCUGAAGUACUCCCUUGCACAACAAUAGAGUCCAUCCACACUUCGAGUAGAUUAGUGUUGGCUUGUUACCAUGCUGUUGUAAGUGAGCCCAUCUUGGGAUUGCAGUUAGGAAUUCUACUCUUAAGUAGGAACCUUUUUGUUGUUUUGGCAUUGCAUGCUUAAUUCUACAAGGUAGUCCCAUGUUUCUCUUACUGAUUCCC
rnacentral:lncRNA from 1 species